UCCACAUUGGUCUUUGUGGAGGACUUGUGGACUUGGAAUCAGUGUUAAUGUUCUGCACAGUCCACUUCAUAACAGUUAUUGACCUUUGACCUGACCAGUGGAGGUUGAUGGACAAUAAUUGUCCAGAUAGAAGUGGAGUUGCUGGUUCAUCACAGUAUUUCAGACAAUUGGAUCAGAAGAAAAGCUUUGCUGUUGCAGCUUGAAUCCAGACUCAGAGACGCUGUGAGGAUCGUUUCUGCCAGGAGCCUUUAGAGUCACAUAAAGACUGACCUGUUUAUCAAGAGUUGAUUGACACACACCACAUACACACACCACAAACACACAUAUAGAAACAAAAACGCACAAAACUUGAACUGCAAAAAGUUUUGUAAUUUCCUGUUAAGUAAAACAGAGACUCUAUCAAGUUUCCAAGGUUUCUGAUUACAGGGAGGAGACUAACUCAAACGCACACCUAAAGGGCGGAGCUCUGCUCAGGUGUUCCUGAAUCAGGAAAUGAGGAAAAGUUUCUCUCCGUGUCAGAGCAGACAGAGCAGGACUUUCUUCUUCUUCUUCACGGUGAAGGUGGAAGGUGUGUGUGAGCUGAUGUGGAUCCAGUGAAUCCAGCAGCAUGGAUCAGUGGGAGGACACACAGGAGGGAGCCCCUCCCUCUAAAAAGAGGAGACAUGGUAACCAUGACAACCAGAGCAAAGCUCAGGGGAACCAACCUGGACCUGGAUCUGGAUCCAGCUGGGGGUCCAACAGAAGUGACAGAUCAAAGGGUGUACCUUAUAACUUCAAAGACAUCCAUUCAGGAGUGGAACAGUAAGUGUUUGUCAGAGUUUUUGGAGGCUGGAUUCUAGUUCAGAUGAUCAACAGUUUUCAGAUGAAGGACUUGAGGUCUGGUUCAGUUCUGGAUCUCUCUGAUCAGACUCACUUGGAGCAUCAUGUGUGUGAUGAGAUCUUUUCAGUUGAGUCUUCUGAGAGUCUCUGAGAGACAUCAGAGAUGUUGGAGAAGAAAACAUGUUGACUGCUGACUCUGACUGACAGCAGCUCCAGUCUAAUGAGAAGAAUCACUGCAGACUCCUAGGAUUCAGAUUUUCAUGCUUUCCAAACAUCACAUUGUUCUAGUUUGACUUUCUGCUACAGAAUUUCUACAUUUCUACAUGGAGAAUUGGAAUCAGCUUUUCUAGAAAAAAGUCUGGAUUGACUGACAGAAAAUGCUGAAACAUUUUCCCUCCAACUGGAAACUGUUGAUCCAAACAUGUCAUGGUAUUUCGUCAU
rnacentral:lncRNA from 1 species